CCUACGGGCGGCAGCAGUGAGGAAUAUUGGUCAAUGGGCGCGAGCCUGAACCAGCCAAGCAGCGUGAAGGAUGACUGCCCUACGGGUUGUAAACUUCUUUUAUAAAGGAAUAAAGUCAGGCACGUGUGCCUUUUUGUAUGUACUUUACGAAUAAGGAUCGGCUAACUCCGUGCCAGCAGCCGCGGUAAUACGGAGGAUCCGAGCGUUAUCCGGAUUUAUUUGGGUUAAAGGGAGCGUAGAUGGGUUGUUAAGUCAGUUGUGAAAGUUUGCGGCUCAACCGUGAAAUUGCAAUUGAUACUGGCAGACUAGAGUACAGUUGAGGUAGGCGGAAUGCGUGGUGUAGCGGUGAAAUGCUUAGAGAUCACGAAGAACACCGAUUGCGAAGGCAGCUUACUAAGCUGCCACUGACAUUGAUGCACGAAAGUGUGGGUAGCAAACAGGAUUAGAUACCCUGGUAGUC
rnacentral:rRNA from 1 species